AAGUUGAAUAUGAUGCAGUAAGUGGUCCCAAAAAGUCCCCAGACCCAAUUCCCAGGGGGUGGGCCCGGGGCAGACCAGAGCAAAGGGUACGGGGUGGAAACACUUGGGAUUGGACAGAUAGUAUUAUAAAAUGUAACAGGCACAGCCGGCGCGCGUCCUGUAACAUCUAUGCCUUGGCAUAAAUUAAACCCUUUCCUUAUCUCACCCUCAAUUAACUGCUCCUGAGAUUUUUUCUUUA